AGAGAAUUCACCUGUCAAUACAAAAUCUCAUCAUCACAACCUCAUAAAUAGAGUGACAUUCUUGGCACAGCCGUGAUGUAAAAAGUGGUUAUUAAUAGAGGUUGUGUGGCUCACCUUGUGAUAGGCGCUGAAAGAUUCCAGAGGUCCGAAAGACUCAGGAGUCAUGGACUGAGCCAGGCCACUUUGCCACACAUUUACACAAUUUCACUCACAUCUGCAGUCAAUUUCACUUACAAUUUCAACUGAUUCAUAAUCAGAGUACAACUACGUUUUCGGAGAUGUUAAUUAACUAAUUGGAUUGUAAUUGUGAUGGUUUCAGCGGAGCAGUGAGUGUGUAUUUGUAUUUGUGCACUACUUAGGCAUUCAGGCGGUCUGCAACUUUGCCACGCUUUCUCUCGUUGUUCUAUAACUGUGGCGGUGUUGCCUUUCUUUAUGAUUUGAUCCUUUACCUCUUCGUAAGCCUCCAUGAGGAUUUCUGCCUCCGACGGGGAAAAGUACGCUGCUCUUGUUGCCAUGGUGAAUCGGUGAAUCUGUGAUUGAUGGCGGGGUCUAUUUGAGGAAGCCGCGUGCGUACAUUGAUCCAGGAUUGGUUUCACCUGGCUGGAUGAAUCCGUGUCUGCUCAUCCUGGCUUGGUCUUUGUGCAACCAAUUAAGCCUGGACGGUCUUGUUUUGGAUUCGUUGAACCCAGCUCAGUCAUUUAUCCUGGAUGUCUGAAUCCUACUUUUGUGCAACGGGCCCCUGGUCUUGCAUGAGAUAAAUGAAUGAAAAUGUUUUCCAAUAGGGCCUAAUCUCUUGACAGUGAAACAUCAUCGGGUGAUCAUCAACAUGAGUCAAUAUAGUACUGAUUAGUAGCACAUUUACAUUAGCACAACGUAGCACUAUCAGGGGAUAAAAACACAGCACGUCUCGUGAACAGCAAAGCACCAUCGUCACUGACAUGAGUGAAUACAGCAUCUGAUGUCAUAGCAGAUGUUGCGAUGCAAGAUAACACAGUAAUAUCUGUAGUAAUAUUCUACAUAUUCCUGAAUUUGGGUGUAUUUUAAAUAAAAAUGCAAGGUUAUUGUCUAUUGACAGUCCCUGAGACCUCUGUGCUGCUUUGUCACAUUUACCAGGAAACGGCGAUGCUCAGACCUUUGGAGAGCUGGGGAUGAGAAAAGGUUGGUGGGCGAACAGGUGUCAGAUCUUUGCAGAGCACCAAUACAAACUCCCAGCGGUUUCCGUGACAUGAGAAAUACUUUCAAAACUUGUGAAGUCACCCGAUGCCACUGUUUUAACACGGAUUGGUUGUUCAAAAUCACUCCCGCCCAUAUAUUUACACGCAGCGGGGAAGGCAUGGCACAUGUGAAUAUACUAUUUGUAAGAGUUCAAGGAGUCUUUUGUGAUACCUUUAUUGCACGUUGGUGUAGUUAUGAAGGUAAAUUUUUGAUAUACAGGGUCCCCACGGUCAUGAAAUUCCUGGAAAAGUUAUGGAAUUUGAAAAACCCAUUUUCCAGUCUUGAACAGUUAUGGAAUUAACUGACUGUUUUGAAAAAGUUUUGAAAUAUACUUCGUUUUAAAAUAUAUUGUAGUGUACAAUAUUCCUUAAAAUCCUCAAAAGAUAUCUAGCGUUACCGAAAAAGUGUAAGCUAUUAUUUAAAUCGAAUGUUGCACCAAUUAGGCUCAUGACCGGUGAAAUGAAUAUGACGUGAUGUGAUGCAUAGACAUAGGCUAUGUAUGUAGCUAGUUGGCUAGUUAGCAGUUGUUUUCGUUUAGCAGUCGCUUCCGAAAAAAUGCCUGGAAAAUACUCCUUCAACAAUGUAUGGCUUACAAAUUUGAAAUAUAAAUCAUGGCUCAAGAGAGAGGAAGACCCUGGCGAGCUAGAUGUAAGCUCUGUGUAAAAUCAUUUGAUGUCAGCAACAUGGGGGAAGCAGUGCUUGUUAGCCAUGCCAAAGGAAAGAAACAUUUAGACAACCAAAAGUUGGCUGAACAAACCGCCAGCGUCAGAACCUUCUUCACCCCUCAGCCUGCUGCAGCCACAGCCAUGCCGGAAGCUUCACCUUCAACUAAGGCAAGCACAUCAACAUAACCGACCUUCAACCAGUAUGCUGCCUCAAACGAUGUGCUAUCGGCUGAAGUGUUAUGGACUCUAAAGUUAAUGGAUUCGCAUUAUUCGUACAGUUCAUGUGCCAACACAGGCGCAGUUUUUUGAGCCAUGUUCCCCGACAGCAAAAUAGCAUCUAAAUUUAGUUUAGGGGAAACAAAGUCUGCAUACCUUGCAACAUUUGGCAUUGCGCCCUACUUCAAAUCACUCCUGGUCAGAGAAGUGUCCAGGCAGGCUGGUUAUGUAAUGAUGAUCAACGAAAGCUUGAACAAAGCUCUGCAACUCAAACAGAUGGAUCUGCACGUACGGAUUUGGGAUGGUGGGGAGGUGAAAACCCGCUAUGUAGGCUCUGAGUUUCUUGGACACGCAACUGCCCAGGACAUUGUAGAUCGAAUGCAAUCUAUACUCUCUGAAACAGAAAUGAAGAAUCUCAUGCAGCUGUCAAUGGACGGACCCAUUGUAAAUUGGAAGGUUUUCGAUUUACUUCAAUCUGACCUGGUCCAAAUCAACAAAUCUCUACUGAACAUGGGGUCGUGCGGACUGCACACUCUCCAUAACGCCUUCCGAGACGGAUACAAGGCAAGCGGAUGGGAGGUGGACCACACCCUCUCUAGCCUGUAUUGGCUCUUAAAAAACAGCUGCGCGCGUCGAGAAGACUUCAUAAACCUCACAGGUAAUGAAUUUUAUAUUGUAUUAUAUGCUAUUGAAUUGUAAACCUAACACUUUUGCACAAUAUCUAUACUGUGAAUAUAAUGUGUUGAUUGUUGAUGUAAUAUAGGCUAUUGAAAUUAUUAAUAAAGUCCUUUAAAACUCACGCAGGAUGCGACACACCCAUGCUGAAAUUCUGACAGCACCGAUGGGCUGAAAAUGUGAAGGUUUGUGAGAGAGGGCUGAUGCUGUGGCCUCAUGUGAUGAACUACGUCGAUGCAGUCUCACGAAGAGAAUUACUGGAGCCAAAGAUCAAAUCUUUCCAAGAGAUCAAGACGGCCUGUGCAGAUCCACUUUUCCGAGUGAAAAUGGCAGUAUUGCAGAGCAUAUUCAAGCAGGUCACCCCUUUCCUUGUCCAGUACCAGACCGACAAGCCAAUGCUACCAUUCAUGGGUGAGGACGUGUACCAGCUGCUCAAAGGGCUCAUGGACCGUUUUAUCAAAGAAAAGACCAUGAAAGAGGCUACCUCGGUAUACAAAAUCCUUCAGGUGCCUUUUGAUCAAGCUAGUGAACAGAAAGAUGCCUCCAAAGUGGAGAUUGGGUUUGCAGCAGAGGCAGCGCUCAGCAAACUUAAAAGUCAGAAGAAGAUCUCAGAAAGACAGGUGCUUGAGAUAAAAAUGGAUUGUAAAACUUUCCUCAUUGCACUCCUGCACAAGCUUGUUCACAAGACACGUGUGCAGUACCUCCUUGUUCGAAGCACGCAGUGCCUAGAUCCUAGACAAAUGGUUGCCAACAAAGGGCAGUGUGUGUGAACAAAAUGAAGAGAGUCCUGCAAACCCUUGUCAGUGCAAAUCAAGUGAAAGAAUCAGUUUGUGACGAUGUCUUGAGAGAGUACAGGGCGUUCUGUGAUUUUGCUCUGGUCACUCCAGGGCUCAGAGAAUUUGACCCCACCUCAGAUAGAGUAGAUACACUGUUUUAUGAGACCUCUAGCACUGAAUUCAAAAACCUCUGGGAGGUGGUGAAGGUGCUUCUUGUGAUGUCCCAUGGACAGGCAAGUGUAGAGAGGGGGUUUUCUGUUAAUAAAGAAGUUGAGGUAGAGAAUCUGAAGCAACGGUCUUUGGUGGCACAGAGACUUAUCAUUGACCACAUUAGGGCAGUUGGAGGAGUGUGUAAAGUUCAGAUCACAAAAGAACUGCUUGCUUGCCAUGAAAAGAAAGUCUCUCAUGGAAGAAUUGGAUGAACUAAAAAAAAAAGAAGAGAGCUAGAGUUGAGGCUGAUGCCACCGCCUUAGAGAAAGCUGCAGAUGAGUAUGCGAACAAGGCAGAGACCACUAGCAAACUAACCUUUAUUGCAAUGUCUAACAGCCUGCGCCGUUCAGCCAGAGAAAAGAAAGCAAGUCUUCUUGACAUUGAAAAGCAAAUCAAUGAGAAACUAUAAGAAAUUAAGAAUGAGUAGACACAGUUUGACUGUUCAAAGCAAACUUAUGUUCUUUUUUUAACAUAUAUUUUUUUUUAUGAAGCAUAGUGCACUGUGAUAUUAGGUUUUACUCUCAAAAUGUUGUAUCGCCUAAUGCUGUGAGGCCUUGAUUGCCGUUUAUCUUGUGGUGCUCUUGUACCAGAAACCCAGACUAAUUUUUUUUUUUUUUUUGAUUCCUUAUUUAAACGGGGAAGCCAUCCCUGAAGCACAGUGGCCUACUUAAGUUACACUUAAUGCACAAAUG